GAUGAACGCUGGCGGCGUGCCUAAUACAUGCAAGUCGAGCGAACAGACGAGGAGCUUGCUUCUCUGACGUUAGCGGCGGACGGGUGAGUAACACGUGGAUAACCUACCUAUAAGACUGGGAUAACUUCGGGAAACCGUAGCUAAUACCGGAUAAUAUUUUGAACCGCAUGGUUCAAAAGUGAAAGACGGUUUUGCUGUCACUUAUAGAUGGAUCCGCGCUGCAUUAGCUAGUUGGUAAGGUAACGGCUUACCAAGGCAACGAUGCGUAGCCGACCUGAGAGGGUGAUCGGCCACACUGGAACUGAGACACGGUCCAGACUCCUACGGGAGGCAGCAGUAGGGAAUCUUCCGCAAUGGGCGAAAGCCUGACGGAGCAACGCCGCGUGAGUGAUGAAGGUCUUCGGAUCGUAAAACUCUGUUAUUAGGGAAGAACAAAUGUGUAAGUAACUAUGCACGUCUUGACGGUACCUAAUCAGAAAGCCACGGCUAACUACGUG
rnacentral:rRNA from 1 species